GACACCGUUUCACUCCUGUAUAUAAACCAAUUUUUUUUUUUAAAAAAUUCAUUCUAUUACUCUUUAAAAAAAAACUUUUAAAACCCUCCCCCUUUCUCUGCUAGGGUUUCAAACCCAGUCUUGGCGCCGUCAUCGGUCCGCCACGCGUCUGCCACCGUACACGGUGGUCGGAGUUCCAAAAAGGGGCCCCUUUCAGCCAAUUCGGCCUUCCCAUUCUCGAUCCGAGGGUAAAAUACCCAAAUCCCCACCAAAACUCAAAAAUAAAAGCAGAAAAGAAAGAAAAAUAAAGGGGCUUUUCGGUCCCCUAUCAAUGCCGAUGAUAUUUUCGACGAACUAAAAGGUUCGGUCGCCCUUUUUCCCGGAGGAAAAGCUUUGACUACUGUGAUAAGGGUAACCGAUUUCUUCCCCUUUUUAUUUUUUAUUUUUUUGUUAUUAAUCUUGCUUCGAAAAAAAAAUCUAAUAUAGGGACUAACUUAUGAAAAUUCACUUCCUUUUCUUAUUAUUCAUUGUUUUUGUGUCCAGAAAAAAUUACAAAGUAUUAAUUGAGGCUUUUAUAGCCAAAAUCACAAGAUCCAUUUUUGUUUUUCUGUUUGUUGUCUGCUACUGUUUUUUUGUUUUUUCUGUGUUGUCCCUUUUGUUUGCGUGUUGGCCUUGUUUUGCAGGUGUCAGACGAGUGAAGGUGGCUGACGUGCGGUGGUGGUGGUGCGCGUGAGGAGGCUGACGGCUGAAGAGGGUUAGGGAAGCUAGGUUUUUUUUUUUUGUUUAGUUUAGGUGUUGGGCUGAUUUGGGCUAGGGUUAGAAUUGGGCUAGUAAUUGGGUUUUAAUUUGGGUCAUUUAAUUGAGUAUUGGACUGGUCUGAUUAGGCUUUUUGUUUAUUUAUUUGAGUUUAAUUUUAUAAACUGGGCCAGGCCUAAAUUAGCCUAUUACAAUAUUCAUUGCAUUGAUUGGCUUAAAAAUGCUAUGUGUCUUAUGGAUAUUAAUGGCUUUUCCAGCUUUGUUUAAUUCAGAAGAUAAAUAAAAUGCGUAAUGAAUUCGAGAUGUGGAGAAAGACUACUUCUCACAAAGUGACAUUCUAGAAGGCCUGGUCUUUGCAUAUCGUUACUUGCACAACUUCACUCGUAAUCUAGUUCUUCCAACAAGACCUCGGCAGAUUAGAUGAGCUCUUCUACUUGGUAUUGCUAUUAAGAUUAAUGUGAAUGAUGCAUACUUUGAGAGAGAGAUCACAAUGGUGAAGUGGCCAUGGUAGUGAGAGAUCCGAGGGGGUUUGUUCUGAGGACUUUUCAAUGGAUCUAGUAGAAAUGACGACUUUCAUCAUGACUCUCAAAUUUACUAGGGUAGAGGCCUUUUUAGAUGUCAUGAUCGAAAGUGAAUCCAUAAUCAAUAGGAUUCGUUUAGAUGACACAUACUUAUCGAGGCUUGGUUUUGGUAGCUUAUAGCACUGUUAGUACUUUUACUUUCAGUUCUUUUAAGUGUGUCAGAUGUACUAAUAAUUUUGUUAAUUGUUACACACCACUUAGCUAGUUGGAGCAUAGUUGUAAGGAUGUUUUACAUUUUUUUUUAUUAUCUAGAUGUUAUUCAUUACUUUGUGAUAUAAAUGCUAUAAAUGUACUAAAGAUUAUCUUUUACAUUUACAAAUUCUAUCAGUUUGAUCUUCAAAUUUUCUAACCAAAACUUUCAGCUUUUAAAAUAAAUACAUUCCACGUUUAUAAAUUUGUAACCCC
rnacentral:lncRNA from 1 species